AGCCUUUUGUUUUCGUGCUGAAAUUUCUUCAGUAACCAGUCCACUAGGCCUGAUGCAGCUUCCCAAAUAAGUGAAGUA
rnacentral:pre_miRNA from 1 species